rnacentral:rRNA from 1 species
AUAACAGGCUUAUCUCCCCCAAGAGUCCACAUCGACGGGGCGGUUUGGCACCUCGAUGCCGGCUCGACCCAUCCUGGGGCGGUUGUCGGUCGCACGGGUUGGGCGGUUCGCCCAUUAAAGCCGCACGCGCGCUGGGUUCAGAACGUCGUGGGACAUCGCGGUCCCUAUCCGUCGCGGGCGUUGGUGAUUGGAGAGGAGCUGUCCUUAGUACGAGAGGACCGGGAUGGACUUACCGCUGGUGUACCAGUUGUUCUGCCAAGGGCAUUGCUGGGUAGCUAUGUAGGGAAGGGAUAAACGCUGAAAGCAUCUAAGUGUGAAGCCCACCUCAAGAUGAGAUUUCCCAUUUCUUUAAGAAAGUAAGAUCCCUGAGAGAUGAUCAGGUAGAUAGGUCAGGAGUGGAAGUACAGUGAUGUAUGGAGCGGACUGAUACUAAUCGAUCGAGGACUUAACCAAU